UACGUAGGGGGCUAGCGUUGUCCGGAAUCAUUGGGCGUAAAGAGCGCGUAGGCGGCCAGAUAAGUCCGGUGUGAAAGUCAAAGGCUCAACCUUUGAAUGCCGCUGGAAACUGUCUGGCUAGAGUCCGGGAGGGGCGAGUGGAAUUCCUGGUGUAGCGGUGAAAUGCGCAGAUAUCAGGAGGAACACCAAUGGCGAAGGCAGGUCUCUGGGCAUUAACUGACGCUGAGGAGCGAAAGCAUGGGGAGCGAACAGG
rnacentral:rRNA from 1 species